UGGGGAAUAUUGCGCAAUGGCCGCAAGGCUGACGCAGCGACGCCGCGUGUGGGAGGACGCCUUUCGGGGUGUAAACCACUGUUGCCCGGGACGAACAACUGGCUUUGGCCAGUCUGACGGUACCGGGUGAGGAAGCACCGGCUAACUCCGUGCCAGCAGCCGCGGUAAUACGGAGGGUGCGAGCGUUGUCCGGAAUCACUGGGCGUAAAGGGCGCGUAGGCGGUGCGGUAAGCGUGCGGUGAAAGCUCGGGGCUC
rnacentral:rRNA from 1 species